AGAGUUUGAUCCUGGCUCAGGACGAACGCUGGCGGCGUGCCUAAUACAUGCAAGUCGAGCGAGCUUGCCUAGAUGAUUUUAGUGCUUGCACUAAAUGAAACUAGAUACAAGCGAGCGGCGGACGGGUGAGUAACACGUGGGUAACCUGCCCAAGAGACUGGGAUAACACCUGGAAACAGAUGCUAAUACCGGAUAACAACACUAGACGCAUGUCUAGAGUUUGAAAGAUGGUUCUGCUAUCACUCUUGGAUGGACCUGCGGUGCAUUAGCUAGUUGGUAAGGUAACGGCUUACCAAGGCAAUGGUGCAUAGCUGAGUUGAGAGACUGAUCGGCCACAUUGGGACUGAGACACGGCCCAAACUCCUACGGGAGGCAGCAGUAGGGAAUCUUCCACAAUGGACGAAAGUCUGAUGGAGCAACGCCGCGUGAGUGAAGAAGGGUUUCGGCUCGUAAAGCUCUGUUGGUAGUGAAGAAAGAUAGAGGUAGUAACUGGCCUUUAUUUGACGGUAAUUACUUAGAAAGUCACGGCUAACUACGUGCCAGCAGCCGCGGUAAUACGUAGGUGGCAAGCGUUGUCCGGAUUUAUUGGGCGUAAAGCGAGUGCAGGCGGUUCAAUAAGUCUGAUGUGAAAGCCUUCGGCUCAACCGGAGAAUUGCAUCAGAAACUGUUGAACUUGAGUGCAGAAGAGGAGAGUGGAACUCCAUGUGUAGCGGUGGAAUGCGUAGAUAUAUGGAAGAACACCAGUGGCGAAGGCGGCUCUCUGGUCUGCAACUGACGCUGAGGCUCGAAAGCAUGGGUAGCGAACAGGAUUAGAUACCCAGGUAGUCCAUGCCGUAAACGAUGAGUGCUAAGGGUUGGGAGGUUUCCGCCUCUCAGUGCUGCA
rnacentral:rRNA from 1 species